rnacentral:rRNA from 1 species
GACGAACGCUGGCGGCGUGCUUAACACAUGCAAGUCGAACGAUGAAGCUAGAGCUUGCUCUGGUGGAUUAGUGGCGAACGGGUGAGUAACACAUGAGUAACCUGCCCCGAACUCUGGGAUAACUGCUGGAAACGGUAGCUAAUACCGGAUAUGACCAAUGAAGGCAUCUUCUGUUGGUGGAAAGAAUUUCGGUUCGGGAUGGACUCGCGGUCUAUCAGCUUGUUGGUGAGGUAACGGCUCACCAAGGCGACGACGGGUAGCCGGCCUGAGAGGGUGCUCGGCCACACUGGGACUGAGACACGGCCCAGACUCCUACGGGAGGCAGCAGUGGGGAAUAUUGCACAAUGGGCGCAAGCCUGAUGCAGCAACGCCGCAUGAGGGACGACGGCCUUCGGGUUGUAAACCUCUUUUAGUAGGGAAGAAGCGAAAGUGACGGUACCUGCAGAAAAAGCACCGGCUAACUACGUGCCAGCCGCCGCCGUAA